rnacentral:lncRNA from 1 species
AUUCUACACAUUGCAAUUCUUCCAUACAUACAAUACACGUUGAGCUUGUGUCCUUCCACUUGCUAAGAUGAGCUACAAAAGGGCCAUGUCGAGUGUAGGGUUGAACAAUGAGUCUCAAUUUUUCUCAUCCAAGCUUCAUACACUUCGGCUUCAGCUUAUUCAGCAUAAUGUUUCAUAGCUUGAUCUUUUUAUAUCGGUCACACCAAUAUUGAAAGAAGAAGUCAUGAAUUACGUUCUUUAUGUAGCUUGGAGGCGUAAUAGUAAACUGGUUUUGGUUCUCAGUACCUCUCCUCACAAGAUGGUCUGCAAAUUCAUUUCCUGUAAUAUCAGAAUGUCCUUUACACCAUUCUAGAUGUAUAUUUUUCUCACUCAUUCCUUUGAUGAUGGUUUCUUUACAUUUUAAAAGUUCUUUACUAGUAGUAAGUGGAUUAAAGAUUGGAGCAAUUGUUGAUUGGGAGUCUGAUCUGAUUAUUAAAUUAUUCAGUGUUUCUUCGUACUUGAGAAGAGUUUCUACACCUUGUGUUAUAGCGAAAAUCUAUCCUUGAAACACAGAAGCCUCUUUAUUCAAUGAAGCCAUUGAAUGACAAAUUGAUGAAUCACCUAAGGUAAUGGCCCAUCCAACCCCAGUGUCCCCGUCUUCGUCCUCAUAGCCGUCCAUGUAGAUGAUUGCGUCACGAUUCUUAAUCUAACUAUUAUUUAUCCAAAUAUGACUACUUUUUAUGUAGUAACUUGGUUGAUCCAUUCCAUCCUUUAUAAGUAUUUUAUCACUAUGGAACCAAUACCCACGACGUUUUCGAAGAUUACCUAUUCCAUCCCAGGUAUAAGAAAUACUUCGUUCUACCUCUUGAUUUCGUUGCCUGUUCCUUAAUGUAUAUGUCCAGAGGAGUAAUACCCAAAACAGCCUCCAUUCCUGUGGUUGGUGUCGAUCGAAAUGUAUGAGUAAUUCCCAAGAGUGUUUUCCUUUUAAUUGUGUUCAAUAUUUUCCUUGGACUUUUCUUUGUAGUGAUUGCAUGUCGCCAUACUAGACACCGAUAGGAGCUAACAUGUCUGACCAUAGCUUCAUACAACUAGAGAACCUUGCCUGAGGUAAGUCCCCCUUUAUGUCCUAUGAUUGCCUUCUCCAUAUUCCAUAUCCGAGAAGACUUGGUUGCUUUAUAUAUCAAAUGCUCUGUCCAGGCGAGUCCUUGAUCAAAAGUCACACCUCGGUACUUGAUAUGUAUGGCUUUUUCCAUCACUUAGCCAUCCAUUUCUAAUUGUGGAAAGUAUUUGGAUCUAAGUUUAUAAGCUAUCGAGAAGACUAUAGUGCUUGAUUUUGAUGGGUUAAAGGUAUAACCAUUUUCUUUUCCGCAUUCAAUAACAGUAGGGAUUGUUCUUUUCAUUGUAUUAAAAAGGGUGUGGACAAGGUUAAUAAAAAUACAAGGUUAGACCAUCAUGUAAUCAAGCUUGCUAGAAUUUUCAAUUUGAUGUAUCAUACCAACUGCUGGGCAAAAUAGGGAGAUUUGGACGGCAUAGAGAAUAGAAAGAAUACCAAAUACAAAUUCACAAAAGGCCAACAUUAAGAACUGGGACUAGGUUGUUGGGCAAGAGAGACAAGUUUGGUAUACUUGGAAUAUGAUAUUAUAUCUUAUUUACAUUUUACAAUAUAUAUAAUAUUACUAAUUGAUUAUUAUUAUUACGAUAAUAAUACAUAUUUGGCAUUCUGAAAAAGUAUAAUGUAUACCCGCAAUGAAACUGUUAGUUGUCAUUUGCGAUUCUCCUAACAACAUAAUUUAUCAUCAUUUUCCAAAAGAUCCCUCAAGGAGGAAAAAAUGGGAAAGUGCUUGUCAUCGAAAGGACCCCUUAGGAAAUACCCUAGAAUUUGUGAGAAUCAUUUUUAUAAAAUGCUUAUAAAAGGGAUUUAAAAGGUGAAUGCUGGGAUUCCUUUUUUUUAAAUGAAAGAAGAUGCUAUCCCUUCCAGAUGUCUCAUAACCUGGAGAAGGAUUUGAGCAAGCACUAAAGAAAACGAAAUGAAUGAAGAAAGUGAACCAUUUUGAAGACGAUUCUAAUGAAAUAUAUUUGGAGAAAUUAAAACAAAUCAUCCCAAACCAACAAAAAAUCAACUCAAACACUUGUAUUAGAACAGGUUAACGCAUCUAAUCAAACAUGUGUAUCGUGGAUUAUACAAAUAAAAAAAGCUUCUGAUACCAAAAAAGAUAAACUCAUUCUAGAACUCGAGUCACUAAGGAAACAGAAUGCAGAUUUACACGAAAAAUUGCAAAUCCUUCAAUCAUAAAAUAGAUUAUUAAAAACUAUCUAAUUUUAAAGAAGCGAUGAAAGGAGAACUGGGUAAGAGAUUUACUAAAUCUCAAUGUAAAUUCAUCAUCAGUUGGAAGAGGUUUGGAAAAGGAAAUGAGGAGUAAUUUGUUAAAGGACUGAUACUGAAGCUCUUUCCUCAAAUGCUACGGUUACAUUCAAUGCAGUAGUCUACUUCCAGUUCCUAGUUUAACAACCCUCAAACGAUUAAGCAAAUUAAAAGAAAUAAAUGAUGAAGUAGUGUUGACUGAGUCAACUUCUUUGAUUCCCUAUCAAAAGGGCAUAAGUAUUUCUUCAAAUCUUUGAUAUCAUUGUAUCAAUGCAUAAAUAAUGAAAUUGGCCUUCCAUACAUAUUGGCAUCUCGUUUAAAUGAAGAUUGUCUUGUACACUUUUUUUUCAAGAAUAAGAUAUAUUGAACGACCCCACUCUCAUCCUAAUGCAGUAGAGGCCAUCGAUCGAUUUGGGAUACUUGUAAUAAGUAGCUAGGAAAAAAUCGUCUUUGAGAAUACUCCCGUCAGAUCUGAAGUAGCCAAAUGUUUUGUUUCUAUGUUUCAACAAAUUACAGGUUCUAUUUUAAGCGAAGCAGAUGCAGAAGAUGACAUAGAAUUUUAUUAAGACUUUCAUGAUAUAGUUUAUCCUCAACUCAUUAAGGGUGAAAUUGAGGAAUAUAUAAAUAAUGAGAAAAUACAAUAGAACAACUGUCUAAUGAUUUAUAUCUUCCUAAAAUCGGUGAAAAUGAAGUAUUAAAUAUGUUACUGGAUAUUUGGCCAAAUCGUUACAUCAAAAUUUCUAACUCUGGGGUGUAAUACUUUCAGUAUCCAAAUUCCUCCAAGUCAAUGGCUUAAAACAUUGUCAAGAGGGGAACUGCUUCAACCAUCGGAAUCUUUUUUGGAAUUUUGCAAAAAAUAUAGAAGCAUUUCAUUAAGUUUCAUGGGAAUGUUUUUGAUACCGAACUAUAUGUGAUGGAUCAACUCAUCAGCAUAAUUGUGGAAAAGUAUCCUAAGGAAGAAUAUGAAGUUAUAAUAAAGUUAUUGGCACUCGUACAUUCAUUAGACUAAAGUAUAUAAAUAUUGUAACCAAAAGUAGCAUAAAAAGAGAAAUAGCAAGUAAUGUGCGUAAAACUGCUCAUUUCAUUAGUUAAAAAAUAGAGAUAGAAUUUUUUUUUCUUGAGGCUCAUUAAUUAAUUUUAAACAGUAAACUUCAAAAUGUAAGUCUAAAAACCUUGUCAAGCAAUUUUUUGGAAAUUGGAUUCCCAAUAUUUUUUUCGAAGUAAGAGUUAUUCUUUAACAUAACUGUAAUGCUAUUGGGAGCGAAGAUUUAUGCUUGUGUUAAAUCCACAAAAAGUCAAUAUGGGAGCUGUUUGACUGUGGAUUAAUCAGUUCUAUUUCAAUCAAGUAUUCGUUAUAAAAUACAUAAGUUUAAUUAAAUCAUUACAUAGCAAUAAAUAUUACGAUUUUU